AUCACAGGCGUGAGCCACCACGCCCAGCCGGAUUGCAAUUUUAAAUAGCAUAAUCAGAGAGGCUUAAUGGAAGAGGUAAUAUUUGAGGAAAGACCUGAAGAAGAGAACUUCUUACGCUGUAGCUGAAUGAGAGAAAUAUCCCAUUCCAAACCUCUGAUGGAAACUGGCCAAGUCAGCGUGUGAGAGGAAGAAGGAAGAAAAAGUUUGCCUACCCUUGCACCGGAAGCAGGAGGGAAAGAGAUGGGCUUGUUGGAAACCAGGAAAGGAGAAAUUGACAGAGCUGCAGGGAGCAAUCCCUUUCCACCUUCACCCAGGACUGAGAUCAUGUCAUACAAAAGCCCUGUGUUGUUCAGAGGACCAGAGGGGCCUGCCUGAUUGCUGGAGAGGCACAUCCUUAGUGACCAUCGGGACAAGGCUGUGGGGAGGGCUGGGCCCCGAGACCCGGGAGUGGCCCUGCCUGGCCAUUUGCUCAAGCAGCAUGCAAGCCGGAUCUACAGCCGGUGCACCUUGUUCCUUGUUCUUCCGGGCACCGGAGGCCCACGUGAAACCUCUCAGAGGAGAGCGAAGAAGGCCACCUUUCAUCUCAAUGAGCCAACAGCCUCACAUCUUUAAGUCCUGCCUAAUCUUACGAGUCAUGAGUCAUCGCUUCUUCCCCGCCAAGUCAUUCAGGAUUCAGUGACUCCAGCUGCCCUCAGGAUCUGACGGAAUCUUGAAGGCAGAGUUCCGAGACUGCAGUCCAGGAUAGAGAAGCCCCCGGCUCCAUCAGGGGCUCCUCGGCUUCAAGGCAGGACCCACC
rnacentral:lncRNA from 1 species